GACCAAUCGACUUCUCCAGAUAUAUUCCUCUCCCCUACCAAACUUGUGAAAUUCAUCCAAAUCGAUUAGAGAGAUGUCCAUGGCUGGUUUCAGUCGACUUCACAAUAUCGAGGACCACCAAGGGUCGGUGUCACACGCCGCCGUGAAUGCGUGACUUGAAUCUCGGUCCCGCUAAAUGAAAGCGACGGUUUGAUUUUGAUUUUGUGGAUGACGAAACACCUUCAGCUUGCUAAUGACUCUUGAGAGGUAUAAGAAAUGCAAUUAUGGAGCACCUAAGAUCAAUGUGUAUGCUAGGGAGGCAUGGGUAAGCAUUACUUUUUUUAUGAAAGAUGCAUUGUAAUUCUCCCCUCUUUAGAGUUAUAUUUUUUAUAUUAUGGUGUCUGGAUGUGUCUUUAACUACUGCAACUUAAAGAAUAAUAACCAAACACUUAGUGGCUAUUUUUGUUCAAGAUCAAUGACUUUUUUAUAUAUUCUAUUAGUGGCUAACUAGCUAAUAAACUAAUAAUAAAUUCUUUGUUGUGUUUGUUGCUUUUGCUAUAAGAUUUUCUUUGAUCAAUAACAAUGUCUUUAAAUGUUGUUUUAUGAUUUUCUUUAUUUUUUCCUGAGGUUUGUGGAGGUAAAAGAUGAUUAAAGAGUGCUUAUGACACGCAAAAAGUUAAACUCAUCUGGAUCAACGUCAGGUGUCCACGUCAGCCAGGAGGUACUGAAUGCGGCUACUAUGUGAUGGAGUUCAUGAAGAAGAUAGCUUACGUUGGGAAAGGAGUAAAGGAAUACUCGAUUGCGGAUAUGAAUGACAUUCACGAAGAUUGGUCGACUUAUGCGGUUACCUCUAUUUUUAAGUGA
rnacentral:lncRNA from 1 species